AAGAAAAACAUCAGGUCGUGGUCAGUGUACAGUCCGUGGAUUCCUGCAUGCACUACAGGCGUACAGGUGCCCAGCAUGUUUUAAACCCCCGGGUCCAGGUCCAGGACUCGAACCGCGAUCAACUAUGCGAAAGUCCUGCGGCAUAACCUUUAUGCCUCUGCUGGUCCGGGCUCUGCCGCUUCUACCUGUGUGGUCUUGGUGCCGUUUGCUGUCCUACUGCUCUACACACACCGGCC